rnacentral:lncRNA from 1 species
UAAAAAUGACCUUUCGUAUCAAUUUUAAUAGAGUAGUGACUAUUUUUGCUCAAUAUUAAAAAAUACUGGCUAAAAAGUAAAUACCACUUAAAAAAGUGACUAUACCACGCCAUUCUCUCCAAAAUGGACGGGGCAAUUUGGGCUUUUGUAGAUCAUACGUCAUAACUCAACUAGUUCAACUCAAAAUUAGUUUUGGGCAAAUAUUAUUUUUAUCUCGCGAUCGAAAUUAUUUAUAUCCGGUAGCUGCAAAAGUGUAUAAAAUUUAUAUGUUUUUUGUAUAUAACAUACAAAAUUAAAAAAUAUACAAAGAAUAUAUAUUUCGGCUAUUAUUUUGAGAGCGGUUAUAUAAUGUCAUUUUCCUAUCUGUUUUUGUUUGUUUGUUUAUUGCUUUAUAAUUUGCUUAACCACCAAACUAAACUAGUGUGAUGUAGACAACCUAUACUACUGUAAGCAUUAGUGGCCGCAUUCAAUAGCUGCUUUAGUCAAAAUGGACCGGCCAAUUUGGCUUAAAUCACACAUCAUAGGUCAUAACACAAUCCGUCCAACUCAAAAUUAAUUUUCCUUUAAUUUGUUUGUUUAUUCUUCUAUAAUUUGCUUAGCUACCAAAUUAAACUAGUGUUCUAACUUCCAUCUUUUUUUCAUUUUUCUUUUCCUAAAAGAUUGUCCUGUUGAUUUUGAGAAGGAGAAUUAUACCAUUGUAACAAGCCAAUGCAAAGGACCUCACUACAAUGAAACAAUAUGUUGCAAUGCAUUCAAGCAAUUAGCCUGCAACCAUAUGGAUGAAUUAAAUGAUGUGCAAAAUGGAUGUGCAACAAUUAUGUUUAAUUACAUUAAUCUAUAUGGGAAAUAUCCACCUGGUCUUUUUGCCAAUAUGUGUAAGGAGGACAAAAAAGGUUUAAAUUGCGAUAAUAUCAUUCCUCCUGAAGGAAAUAAACCUGAGGAACAAAAGAGCCAUUCUGCUAAAGGUAGUAAAUCCUCUGUGGUACUAAUGCUAAUUGCUAGCAUUUUAAUUAUACUGUUUAACAUUUGAAGGAUCUUUUUUUUCUUUUUUUGUUGGUCUUAGUAAUUCUUUCAUAUACUUCAGUAUACUAUGCUGUUGAGAUGUACAUUCAAUCCCUAUAGUUGGGAUUUGUAAUUCUUUAUUUACACAUUCCGUGGAGUCUUAAUAUUUCUUUUUCUAUAUUGAAAACUUUCCCUUCUAUAUAUUGCUCAAUGGUGAUGUCGGGCUAGCUUACAUAUAGAUAUUAGGGCGGAUCUAGGGGUAGAAGGGAUUAAAUCCCUUCUUUAUAAAUUAUAUUGUGUAUAUAAGGUUAAUUUCUUUUUAUCUUGUAUUUUGGUGAUGAAUUUCCUUGGCUUUUUUUGUGUUUUUUCUUAUUUUUAUUUUUUUUUGAAUGCUUUUGGUGAAAGUUUUACCUCUGCCGCUAGUUCAUACAUCGAUUAUUUCAUUGGUACCUGCUAUCUUUCAUCAGUAGAAGUACCGAAUAGCUCGGGCCACCAACGUUUAAUUAAAUAGGAAGAAAAUCACCUAGCCUUUAAUUUUUUUCUAUUUCUGUCUAUUGCUCUUAUGAGAGUUUUCUUUUAUACUUUAUUUUCUAAGGGGAGGAAAGCAAAAGACUAGGGUCAAAUGGGUGAGUUGGGCUAAUUUUGAGCGGGUUAAAAUGAAUUGAGUUAAUAAAUUGAUCUGCCCAAAAGUUACUUGGGCUGAGAUGGACUAUGUCAAGAUGGGCUAAAAUUUGGGUCAUAACUCAAUUGGUAAAAAUUGCAUGGGGCACCCUAUUUGGUCGCCCCUUUUUAAUUUAUACCCGUUUUAUUUUUCCGUUUGCAUCCGUACCUUUUUUUUUU